GGGUAACACGUGGAUAACCUACCUAUAAGACUGGGAUAACUUCGGGAAACCGGAGCUAAUACCGGAUAAUAUAUUGAACCGCAUGGUUCAAUAGUGAAAGACGGUUUUGCUGUCACUUAUAGAUGGAUCCGCGCCGCAUUAGCUAGUUGGUAAGGUAACGGCUUACCAAGGCAACGAUGCGUAGCCGACCUGAGAGGGUGAUCGGCCACACUGGAACUGAGACACGGUCCAG
rnacentral:rRNA from 1 species